rnacentral:rRNA from 1 species
UACAGAGGUCCCAAGCGUUGUUCGGAUUCAUUGGGCGUAAAGGGUGUGUAGGCGGGUCUAUAAGUCAGUGGGGAAAUCUCCGGGCUCAACCCGGAAACUGCCAUUGAUACUAUAGGUCUUGAAUAUUGUGGAGGUGGGCGGAAUGUGUCAUGUAGCGGUGAAAUGCUUAGAGAUGACACAGAACACCGAUUGCGAAGGCAGCCCACUACGCAACUAUUGACGCUGAGGCACGAAAGCGUGGGGAUCAAACAGG